GACGAACGCUGGCGGCGUGCUUAACACAUGCAAGUCGAACGGUGAAGCUCCAGCUUGCUGGAGUGGAUCAGUGGCGAACGGGUGAGUAACACGUGAGCAACCUGCCCCUGACUCUGGAAUAAGCGCUGGAAACGGCGUCUAAUACUGGAUACGAGAAGGGUCCGCAUGGGCACUUUCUGGAAAGUUUUUCGGUUGGGGAUGGGCUCGCGGCCUAUCAGCUUGUUGGUUAGGUAAUGGCUCACCAAGGCGACGACGGGUAGCCGGCCUGAGAGGGCGACCGGCCACACUGGGACUGAGACACGGCCCAGACUCCUACGGGAGGCAGCAGUGGGGAAUAUUGCACAGUGGGCGAAAGCCUGAUGCAGCGACGCCGCGUGAGGGAUGACGGCCUGCGGGUUGUAAACCUCUUUCAGCAGGGAAGAAGCGAAAGUGACGGUACCUGCAGAAGAAGCACCGGCUAACUACGUG
rnacentral:rRNA from 1 species